UCCUUGUUAGCUCAGUUGGUAGAGCGCUCCACUGGAAAUGGAGAUGUCCCUCGUUCGAUUUGAGGACCAAGAA
rnacentral:tRNA from 1 species